AAUACCCAAUCCUGACACAGGGAGGUAGUGACAAGAAAUAACAAUACAGAGCAAUCCGUUUUGUAAUUGGAAUGAUGGUGACGUAAAAGCUCACCAGAGUACCAAUUGGAGGGCAAGUCUGGUGCCAGCAGCCGCGGUAAUUCCAGCUCCAAUAGCGUAUAUUAAACUUGUUGCAGUUAAAAAGCUCGUAGUUGUAUUUCAGCCUCGCGAGUUGUCCAUGUUUUUGGUUCAGUUCGCUGGCUUUUGUUUUACUUUGAGAAAAUUAGAGUGUUUCAAGCAGACUUUUGUCUUGAAUACUUCAGCAUGGAAUAAUAGAGUAGGACCUUGGUUCUAUUUUGUUGGUUGAGAGACUCAGUACCUGCAAGGAGGAACGGUUGGGGGCAUUCGUAUUUAA
rnacentral:rRNA from 1 species